rnacentral:misc_RNA from 1 species
GGGACAAGUACGAAGGAGGUCAAAUUUACUCUGUGCCCCUUGGUGGGACAAUUUUGAGUCAGCCUUUUACAAUUGGAGGUUCCGGUUCUAGUUACUUGUAUGGCUUCUUUGAUCAAGCGUGGAAGGAAGGGAUGAGCAAAGAUGAGGCUGAGAAAUUAGUGGUUAAGGCGGUCUCUCUUGCCAUUGCACGCGAUGGUGCCAGUGGUGGUGUUGUCCGAACUGUUAUUAUAAAUGCUGAUGGCGUUACUAGGAACUUCUACUCUGGCGAUUCUCUACCCCUUUGGCAUGAGGAGCUGGAGCCGGUGAAUUCGUUACUUGACAUACUAUCAUCGAGCAGCCCUGAGCCAAUGAGCACAUGAGAUGUUUAUUCUCUUCACUCAAUGAGUGCACUCAGAAUUACAAUUUGCUUGUAUCAUACACUCUUCGGUCUGAAAUGUAUGCGCAUGAUCUAAGACUGACCCGUAACCCUAUUUCUUUGAAACCGG